rnacentral:tRNA from 1 species
UAGCUCAGUCGGUUAGAGCAUGGUGCUAAUAACACCAGGGUUGUGGGUUUGAUCCCUGU